rfam:Sphingobacterium sp. Ag1 JX05_contig_2, whole genome shotgun sequence.
CUGUUUCAAUCUGUUGCGGCGAGAUAAAGUGAAUGUGCGUAUCAAUACCGCCGGCAGUUAGGAUAUAGCCUGCUCCCCCAUGUACUUCCGUGGACGCACCGAUGAUCAUGCCCUCGGUUACACCAUCCUGUACAUCUGGGUUUCCAGCUUUACCAAUACCGACAAUUUUACCAUCCUUAAUUCCGAUAUCGCCUUUUACAAUACCCCAGUGGUCGAUGAUAAUGACAUUAGUGAUACAAAAAUCCAAUACCCCCUCAUCACGCAAGGCACGGGCAGAUUGUCCCAUACCGUCACGAAUGG